rnacentral:lncRNA from 1 species
UAAGCCUUGAGUAAUUAGCAGGCCCCACUUUCCAAAUGGGUGGAGGCGGCAACGUGGUCUGGGGACAGCGCCCAAGACCUGAGUCAGGGCCUAAGUCUGCCAACUGAGGCAAGACAAUGAGUUUUUAGGUCCUCGUCCUGGAAAUGCCUGAGGGAAGAAGCAGUAUCUCAUCUACAGGGGGUCUGUAUCAAUCAGAAUCACAAAGAUCCUUAUAAGAGGGACACAGGAAUCAUCAGAGCCAGAAGAGGAGGGAGUGUGAUAACAGAAGCAGAGAAUGGAGUGACACACUUAAAGGUAGAAGAAGGGACCAUAAGACUCUACAUGGCCACUCCAAGCUAAAAAAAGAAAGUAGCAGAUGCUCUCCUCAGUCUCUAAAAAGAAACAAGCCUGAAUGACACAUUGACUUUAGCUCAGUUGUGUAGUCAGCUUUCCUUUACUCUACAAAAAAAUCUGAGAAAAAGAAGGGAGCCACAUCUUGCAAGACCAUCCUGGCUUACAACAUAAAGGCGCAGCAAGGUUUGCUCACAAGCUGAAGGCAGUUGUGUUGUAGCUGAGAUGUGAGGUUGAAAGGGGAACAAAGGAUUGAAGAAGUUAGGGCAUGGUGGCUAAUCCUUGCUCCCUUCCAACUGUUCAUCUGCCCCAGCUUCAGGAUUAUGGCUAGAAAAGUAACCUUCAGGUCCUACCAAGUGGAGCAGGCUUAGAGAGCAAGCAAAGCCCGGGAAGAUUCAUUUCUAUUUUUCAAUUCUCUUCCUACCCACCACCUGGUGUCACUGACUAAAGCCAGUGCAGCCUCUAGCUCCCAAGCUCCAGCUAAAGGAGAAGUGGAUAGAAACAAGCUGCCAUGUUGAAUGGAACCAUAAGGCA